rnacentral:rRNA from 1 species
UACGUAGGCAGCGAGCGUUGUUCGGAGUUACUGGGCGUAAAGGGUGUGUAGGCGGUCCCUUAAGUUUGGUGUGAAAUCUCCCGGCUCAACUGGGAGGGUGCGCCGGAUACUGAGGGGCUAGAGUGCGGGAAGGGAAAGUGGAGUUCCUGGUGUAGCGGUGAAAUGCGUAGAUAUCAGGAGGAACACCGGUGGUGCAAACGGCUUUCUGGACCGUAACUGACGCUGAGACACGAAAGCGUGGGGAGCAAACAGG